rnacentral:rRNA from 1 species
AUUCCAGCCUUCCAUCUGGUCAAAGUAGUAGUAUAGGAUAAGGUGGAGACAAUUUUUUGAAUUUCAAAAUCUCACCAACCCUUGUCAUAAUUAUGCACCCACAUGUGAGUUGGUGGUUGAACGGUUAUAUAUCUUAAUUUUGAAUGGAAAAUGUGUAAAUUUUUUAUUUUAAAGGCUUCCAUUUGGUCCCACACACACCUCACAUGUAUGAGACAAAUUUUGUAUCUAUAUAUGCAACAUGUGAAUGAAAAAAUGAAUUAGUGUGCUGUCUAGUUUUGUGUGGCCUACUCUAACAUCUUCUCUUCAUCUUCUUCUCCUUCCUUCAAAAUAAAAGCCCUAACAAUCCUAAAUAUCACUAUACCAUAAACAAACAUAAAAAUCACCUAAACAUCAAACCAAAAAUCAGAUUAAAGGUUGUGCACAAGACUAACACCUUGUGUACAACACUCUUGGCCAAGUGAACCCAAAACCACACCAAAGUCCAACAUGGGACACAUGGAAUCCCACGUGAAUUAGCAAAGACAACCUUGCAAGGCUAAAUACUCCUAGGUGACCGAUAGUGAAGUAGUACCAUGAGGGAAUGGUGAAAAUAACCCCCAUCGGGGAGUUAAAUAGAACAUGAAAUCGUAAGCUCCCAAGCAGUGGGAGGAGAUCGGGGCUCUGACCGCGUGCCUGUUGAAGAAUGAACUAGCAACUUAUAGGCAGUGGCUUGGUUAAAGGAACCCACCAGAGCCAUAGUGAAAGCAAGUCUUCAUUAGGCAAUUGUCACUGCUUAUGGACUCGAACCUGGGUGAUCUAUCCAUGAGCAGGAUGAAGCUUGGGUGAAACUAAGUGGAGGUUCGAACCAAUUGAUGUUGAAGAAUCAGUGGAUGAGUUGUGUUUAGGGGUGAAAUGCCACUCGAACCCAGAGCUAGCUGGUUUUCCCCAAAUUGUGUUGAGGCACAGUAGUUGACAAGACAUCUAGGGGUAAAAUACUGUUUCAAUGAAGGCUGCGAGAGCAGUACCAAAUUAAGGCAAACUCUGAACACUAGAUAUGACCUAAAAAUAACCGAGGUCAAGGUCGGCCAAUGGGACAAUGGGGGAUAAGCUUUAUCAUCGAGAGGGAAAUAGCUCGGAUCACCAGCUGAGGCCCCUAAAUGAUCGCUCGGUGAUAAAGGAGGGAGGGGUGCAGAGACAGCUAGGAGGUUUGCCUAGAAGCAGCCACCCUUGAAAAGGUGCGUAAUAGCUCACUGAUUGAAUGCUCUUGCACCGAAGAUGAACGAGGCUAAGUGAUCUGCCAAGCUAUGGGAUGUAAAAAUACAUCAGUAGGGGAGCAUUCCGUCUAUAGGGAAGCAACUAGGCAAGUAGUGGUAGAUGAAGCAGAAGUGAGAAUGUUUGCUUGAGUAACGUAAACAUUGGUAAGAAUCCAAUGCCCCGAAAACAUAAAGGUUCCUCCGCAAGGUUCAUCCACGGAGGGUGAGUCAGGGCCCAAGAUUAGGCCGAAAGGCAUAGUCGAUGGAUAGCAAGUGAAUAUUCCUGUACUACCCCUUGUUGGUCCCGAAGGACAGAGGAGGCUAGGUUAGCCGAAAAAUGGUUAUUGGUUCAAGGACACAAGGUACCCCAGCUUUUUCAGGGUAAAAAGGGGUAAAGAAAAUUCCCCGAGCUAAUGCUCGAGUACCAGGCGCUACGGCGCUGAAGUAAACCAUGCCAUACUCCCUAGAAAAGCUUGAAUGACCUUCAACAAAAGGGUACUUAUACCUAAAAUCGACACAGGUGGGUAGGUAGAGAAUACCUAAGGGCGCAAACAACUUUCUCUAAGGCACUCGGCAAAAUAGCCCUAUAACUUCGGGAGAAGGGGUGCCUCCUCAUAAAGGGGGUUACAGUGACUAGGCCAGGGCCACUGUUUACCAAAAACACAGGUCUCCGAAAAGUCACAAGACCAUGUAUUGGGGCUGACACCUACCCAAUGCCGGAAGGUUAAGGAAGUUGGUGACCUGAUGAUAGGGGAGCCAACGACCAAAGCCCCGAUGAACGACGGUCGUAACUAUAAUGGUCCUAAGGUAGUGAAAUUCCUUGUGAGAUAAGUUCUGACCCUCAUGAAAGGUGCAACGAUCUAGGCACUGUCUUGAAGAGAGGCUUCGUGAAACAGACAUGUCUGUGAAGAUGCGGACUACCUGUACCUGGACAGAAACACCCUAUGAAGCUUCACUAUUCCCUGGGUUUGGCUUUGGGCCUUUCCUACACAGCUUAGGUGGAGGGCGAAUAAGGCCUCCUUCUGGGUGGGCCCGAGCCAUCAGUGAGAUACCACUCUAGAAGAGCUCGAAUUCUAACCUUGUGUCAAGACCUACGGGCCAAGGGACAGUCUGAUAUGAAUCCACCCGAGACUGUUCGCCCGACAAUCUGCUAGGGUGCUGACCCAAUACAAAUGAAGGUGGGACCGAUCACGAGGGCCCAAGCCAAGAAGUUCAAGGACAAUCUUGCUGUCUUCAUACAAGGAAUAAGUCAUAGUCAAGAGGGGUUGGCUAUAUCCAAAGAACCAAGGCCUGUUUUACUCAUACAAGCAAUAGAAGCCGAUACGGACCCGGAUGACAGUUUUGGUACAUUUUUGGAGUCCGGGAAGCAUGAAAUGGUUCCAAUGCUUUAUGGGUUCAAUACAUAUGCCUAAGAGGUCAUGGAAUCAAGUUAAAGCAGCUUCAAAUGCAAUCAAAAAGGGCUUGUACGGACAGCCUCAACAAUUUGGCCGAAUUUGUUGUAUUGCUUGCUGGCUUUACUGUAUUUUACUGUAUCAGCCUUUUCUUAUUUUUCCAAGCAUGGGCAACAUGUGGGACUUCAUAUUCAGCAUAUUUGGCAUCCUACAAAUCAUCUAGAAGCUGAUUUGAAGCUCAAAGAGGUCAAAGAUUGGUCAAAGUCAAAUUAGUCAAAAAGCUAGUAUUAUAGUUUCCUAAUUUUAUUCUACUUUUUGUUUUAGGAAACUACCAUUACUUUUUAGUUUUUAUUUAUUUAUUUUCUGGACAAAUAAGUUUAGGAAAGUUAUUAUUUUAUUAUUUUCAUUGUAAAUUAAUUAAUUCCUAAUUCAAAAUAAAGGAAUUAAUUAAUCCAAAUUAGAUUAGGAAAAGGAAAGUUUCGGCCAA